UUUGCACGCUCCCUGACUGACUCGUUCAUUUCGAAAAAAGUGCUUACCAACCACGGAAGGAAGGCGGCUGUCGGGCUGCUGCCUGUAUCUGAAUUUCGGGAUUUAAGUUCCAGAAUCGAUCGAAAACAGUAGUAGAAAGUGAAUCAAAAGUCGUGUUGUAAUUUUUGUGCGAAAAAAACGAGUGAAAUUCGCUAAUUUUCGGGUGGAAAAUUCCCGUUUUUUAGCUUUCCCUUUUAGCAGUAAGAAAAAGAAGAACUAGUUCAAGAUGGGAAUUAAAUUCCUCGAAAUCAUCAAACCGUUUUGCAGUAUCCUGCCGGAAAUUGCGAAACCGGAACGAAAGAUUCAGUUCCGAGAAAAAGUACUCUGGACGGCAAUCACGCUCUUUAUUUUCUUGGUAUGCUGUCAAAUCCCGCUGUUCGGUAUAAUGAGUUCGGAUUCGGCGGAUCCUUUCUACUGGAUUCGAGUUAUUUUGGCCUCCAACCGAGGAACACUGAUGGAGUUGGGUAUUUCACCGAUCGUAACGUCUGGUUUGAUUAUGCAGUUAUUGGCCGGAGCCAAGAUUAUUGAAGUCGGUGACAGUCCGAAGGACCGAGCACUGUUCAACGGAGCGCAGAAGCUUUUUGGAAUGGUUAUUACUGUUGGUCAAGCGAUCGUGUACGUCAUGACUGGAAUGUACGGUGAUCCUGCCGAAAUUGGAGCUGGUGUUUGUCUGCUUAUCAUUAUUCAACUGUUCGUUGCUGGGUUGAUUGUCCUGCUGCUGGAUGAACUUCUACAGAAAGGUUACGGUUUGGGAUCUGGUAUUUCACUGUUCAUUGCUACCAACAUCUGUGAAACAAUCGUAUGGAAGGCUUUCUCGCCGGCUACUGUCAACACUGGACGAGGAACUGAGUUCGAGGGAGCCGUAAUUGCUCUAUUCCAUCUAUUGGCUACCCGUCAGGAUAAGGUUCGAGGACUUCGGGAGGCUUUCUAUCGCCAGAAUCUGCCCAAUUUGAUGAAUCUUUUGGCAACGGUGCUGGUCUUUGCGGUGGUCAUAUACUUCCAAGGCUUCCGAGUGGAUCUUCCGAUCAAAUCGGCCCGCUAUCGCGGUCAAUACAGCAGCUAUCCGAUUAAGCUGUUCUACACGAGCAACAUCCCGAUCAUCCUGCAAUCUGCGCUGGUUUCCAAUCUUUACGUCAUUUCACAGAUGUUGGCGGUAAAAUUCCACGGCAACUUCCUGGUCAACCUACUCGGCACUUGGGCUGACGUGACUGGGGGAGGUCCCGCUCGUGCAUACCCGAUCGGGGGUUUAUGCUACUACCUUUCGCCACCGGAGAACCUUUCACACAUAGCUCAGGACCCGAUCCACGCACUGCUAUACAUCGUAUUCAUGCUGGGCAGUUGUGCCUUUUUCUCGAAGACCUGGAUCGACGUGUCGGGCAGUUCGGCCAAGGACGUUGCAAAGCAGCUCAAGGAACAGCAGAUGAUUAUGCGUGGCCAUCGGGAGAACUCGAUGAUCCACGAGCUGAAUCGGUACAUCCCAACGGCGGCUGCCUUCGGAGGGCUGUGUAUCGGAGCACUUUCGGUUAUCGCAGAUUUUAUGGGAGCUAUCGGAUCCGGAACCGGUAUUCUGCUGGCCGUAACGAUUAUCUAUCAGUACUUUGAAAUUUUCGUCAAGGAGCAAAGCGAGAUGGGUGGCAUGGGAGCGAUGUUAUUCUAAGGUGUGGUGUAUGUAACAAACAGAGUCGUACUCAAUGCAGUUAUUUUUCCGCACGUUUUCAUCCACACAUUCAUCACCAUGCAAAUAUACUGUAAGAAUAAUAGACGAUAGGCAGGCUAUUCUCUCAUUUUGUUUGUUUUGUUGUUUUUUGUGGAAUAAACCCCACUGUAGCUUCAUACAGUAACUUAUUUUUUUAUCGAUAAUUGUUAAUGCGGAAAAGUAGGACUUCCAGAACAGAACAAACAAACAAACAAAACUUAUAAGCAAUCUAUGGCAGAUUAUUGAAACGACUAAAGAAGAUGAGAAAACCAGUUAUGUAACAAACAAAUAGCGAAAAAAGGAAAUCAUUAAAGAGAUUUUAAGACUUCCAAUCCUAAGAACCUUUUCCAUGUGAGAUACGGAAAGAAAUCAUAAAACAGGUCGAGUUUUCUUUUAGAGUCAAAUCAUGAGACCAUGCAGCAAAUCUACAGGCUAGCUGUUGCUGUGCUUGUUUUAAAUAAAAUUAUAAAAAUUCAAAUAUAAUAGGAGUUACGGUAUGAUACAUCCCUGUUUCAUCGAUUAUAAGCGAACUUUUUUUUAUAUUAAAGUGGAACCUAAAGCGAACUUA